UUUCAGUCCGAACAAGGAUUCCUCGACGAUAAUAUCGUGGUUAACAGGGUAUCCGCUGGUGAACACGAUGCACUCCGAUAUCGAGAUUGUUUUCGGUGUUUAUUAGGAAAAACAGUGUUCACUCGACGCUGCCAUAUAUUCGACGAAAUUUUCCACAACAGACUGAGCGGUGACGCUUGUGUAAUUCAUAAAUGACGUCAUAGGCGAAAAAUUAAGAUACCACGUAUGGCGGGCGGUAAACUCCACAAAAAUCACACCGACAGAUAUGUUGAUAUCGUGCUAAACGUAAAUGGCAGAAUGCAGGGAGGGAAAAAGUUGCAUAAUUGUAUAAACAUACAGAAGCACAAACUGCUAAAAUUACAGAAUUGUGUACUAUACAAUUGGGUACUAACAAUGAAAUGAGCUCAAGGUUGCAAAAGAUAGAAUGUGAACUUGAGAUAA